ensembl:lncRNA
UUAGGCACUCCAGCACCCCCAUCCAGCUGUGUGUGCUGUCCUGGCCAUUCCUGGAAUGCACAUCUGGAUUGGGAAGGUGAUUUUGGAGCUGGUUGGGUUGGGCAGUUCUUUGUGUCUAAGAGCGAUUUAAAUAAAUUUAAAUAAAUUUAAAUCGAUUUAAAUCCAUUUAAAUCAGUUUUUAGCCACUCCAGCUGUGUGUGCAUUGUCCUGUCCAUUCCUGGAAUGCACAUCUGGAUUGGGAAGCUCAUUUUGGAGCUGGUUGGGCUGGGCAGUUCUUUGUGUUUUAGAGAGAUUUAAAUCAAUUUAAAUCCAUUUAAAUCCAUUUAAAUAAAUUAAAAUCCAUUUAAAUCAAUUUUUAGCCACUCCAGCUGUGUGUACAUUGUCCUGUCCAUUCCUGCAGUGCACAUCUGGAUUGGGAAGGUGAUUUUGGAGCUGCUCCAUGUGGGUUGGGCAGUUCUUUGUGUCUAAGAGCGAUUUAAAUAAAUUUAAAUCCAUUUAAAUUGAUUUAAAUCAGUUUUUAGCCAGUCCAGCUGUGUGUGCAUUGUUCUGUGCAUUCCUGGAGUGCACAUCUGGAUUGGGAAGGUGAUUUUGGAGCUGCUUGGUGUAAUUCGUUUUUUGUGUUUUGGAAGGAUUUAAAUAGAUUUAAAUCAAUUUAAAUCAAUUUUUAAAUCUAUUUAAAUCAAAUUUUAGCCACUCCAGCUGUGUGUGCUGUCCUGCCCAUUCCUGGAAUGCACAUCUGGAUUGGGAAGCUGAUUUUGGGCUGGAAUUCUCAGGCUUUUUGGGUUUUUUUGGCAGAUUUUUGGCAGAAAUUUGGGUUUUUUGCAGAUUUUUGGCAGCCAAUCCCUCCCUCUGGAUUUUGGAUUUUUCCCCUGCUGGGAUUUCCAGAAAAUUCCACAAAAAAACCCAAAAAAAAAAGGGAACAUUUCCAGUGGCUCUUUCCAGAACAGAGUUACAUUUUUUUUUNGGAUUUUGGGGAAAUUUUCCUUGGAUUUUAGUGCAAUUUUCCCUGGAUUUUAGUGGAAUUUUUUGUGGAAUUUUAGUGGAAUUUCCCCUGGAUUUUAGUGGAAUUUUCCUUGGAUUUGGGGGAAUUUUUUCUGGAAUUUUUGUGGAAUUUUCCCUGGAUUUUGGUGGAAUUUUCCGUGGAUUUUGGGGGAAUUUUUUGUGGAAUUUUUGUGGAAUUUUCCCUGGAUUUUAGUGGAAUUUCCCCUGGAUUUUGGUGGAAUUUUCCCUGAAUUUUAGGGUAUUUUCCAUAGAUUUUAGUGGAAUUUUCCUUGGUUUUGGUGGAAUUUUCCUUGGAUUUUAGUGGAAUUUUUUGUGGAAUUUUAGCGGAAUUUUCCUUGGAUUUUAGGGAAUUUUCCCUGGAUUUUAGUGGAAUUUUCCUUGGUUUUGGUGGAAUUUUCCUUGGAUUUUGGGGGGAUUUUCUGUGGAAUUUUUAGUGGAAUUUUAGUGGAAUUUUCCCUGGAUUUUAGGGAAUUUUCCUUGGUUUUUAGUGGAAUUUUCCCUGGUUUUGGUGGAAUUUCUCCUGGAUUUUAGGGAAUUUUCCCUGGAUUUUAGUGGAAUUUUUUGUGGAAUUUUAGUGGAAUUUCCCCUGGAUUUUAGGGAAUUUUCCGUGGAUUUUGGGGGAAUUUUUUGUGGAAUUUUUGUGGAAUUUUCCCUGGAUUUUAGGGAAUUUUAUCUGGAUUUUAGUGGAAUUUUUUGUGGAAUUUUUUGUGGAAUUUCCCCUGGAUUUUAGGGAAUUUUCCCUGGAUUUUGGGGGAAUUUUCCUUGGAUUUUAGUGCAAUUUUCCCUGGAUUUUGGGGGAAUUUUUUGUGGAAUUUUUGUGGAAUUUCCCCUGGAUUGUAGGGAAUUUUCCCUGGAUUUUGGUGGAAUUUUUCCUGGUUUUUGUGGAAUUUUCCCUGGAUUUUAGUGGAAUUUUUUGUGGAAUUUUAGUGGAAUUUUCCCUGGAUUUUGGUGGAAUUUUCCCUGGAUUUUAGGGAAUUUUCCCUGGAUUUUGGGGGAAUUUUUUGUGGAAUUUUAGUGGAAUUUUCCCUGGAUUUUGGGGGAAUUUUCCUUGGAUUUUAGUGCAAUUUUCCCUGGAUUUUAGUGGAAUUUUUUGUGGAAUUUUUGUGGAAUUUCCCCUGGAUUUUAGGGAAUUUUCCCUGGAUUUUAGUGGAAUUUUUUGUGGAAUUUUCCCUGGAUUUUAGGGGAGGUUUUCCCUGACUGCAAUUCCAGAAAAACUCCAAAUUUUCCCAGUUUUUACCCCAAAUUUUGCAGUGGAACUGUUGAUUUUGGGGUCAUUUUUUAGAGGAUUUUCCCCAUAAAAAAUCCCAGAAAAAUUCUCUUUAUUCCCCCACAACUCUUUAAAAUUUCCCUGCUUUUCCCCACAUGGAAAAUUCCAUUUUUUUCCCAAUUUUUACCCCAAAUUUUACAAUGAAAAUGUUGAUUUUGGGGUUAUUUUUAAGAGGAUUUUCCCCAUAAAAAAUUCCCAAAAAUUCCCUUUUCCUUCCUCAUCCUCGGAGCUGCCGUUGUUUAUUGUCAAUAUUGCACUCAUCCCAUGGAAAAUUCAAAUUUUUCCCCAAAUUUUCUUCUUUUUUCUGCCAUUUUUGCAGGCUCGAAAUUCCCUUUAAAAGCCACAAAACCCAGGAUUUUUCUUUGAUUUUUCCAUUUUUUAUAUCCUGAUAUUGAAAAAUUUAAAAAACCCCAUUUUUGUGUGUUUUUUAAGUGACAGGUGGGUGGAAUAAUUUUAUUUUUGGGUGUUGUUUUCUUGCUGAAAAAGGGGAAAAAUGGGAGAAAAAAAUGAUAAAAAAUUCAAUUUUUAGUUGAAUUUUUUCUCUUUUUAUGUUGCCUCCUGUCAGAGGCAAAAAAAAUGAAAAUAAUUCAAAAUUGCUCUUAAAAUGUGCAAUAUUCCCAUUUUUAUUUUAAUUUUAUUUUGAUUUUUUAAAACGCAAAAACAAAUCAGGAAUAUCUGGAAUUAUUUUUUAAUUUUGUUUUUAAUAUUUGGAGAAAUUUCUGAGAAAUUUCCAUUUGUAAAUAAACAGCACUUUUUGGGUCA